rnacentral:rRNA from 1 species
UACGUAGGUGGCAAGCGUUAUCCGGAUUUACUAGGUGUAAAGGGCGUGUAGGCGGGGACGCAAGUCAGAUGUGAAAACCACGGGCUCAACCUGUGGCCUGCAUUUGAAACUGUGUUUCUUGAGUACUGGAGAGGCAGACGGAAUUCCUAGUGUAGCGGUGAAAUGCGUAGAUAUUAGGAGGAACACCAGUGGCGAAGGCGGUCUGCUGGACAGCAACUGACGCUGAGGCGCGAAAGCGUGGGGAGCAAACAGG